GAUGAAGAACGUAGCGAAAUGCGAUAAGUAAUGUGAAUUGCAGAAUUCAGUGAAUCAUCGAAUCUUUGAACGCACAUUGCGCCCGCCAGUAUUCUGGCGGGCAUGCCUGUCUGAGCGUCAUUUCAACCCUCAUGCCCCUAGGGCGUGGUGUUGGGGAUCGGCCAAAGCCCGCGAGGGACGGCCGGCCCCUAAAUCUAGUGGCGGACCCGUCGUGGCCUCCUCUGCGAAGUAGUGAUAUUCCGCAUCGGAGAGCGACGAGCCCCUGCCGUUAAACCCCCAACUUUCCAAGGUUGACCUCAGAUCAGGUAGGAAUACCCGCUGAACUUAAGCAUAUCAAAGCGGAGGA
rnacentral:misc_RNA from 1 species